GUUUGCCUUACGUGGUAUGUUCCUCUUACCACGGUUCUCUGAAUGGAGUCCGCAUCGGAGACUUCACCGCAUGCAGGAUAUGACUUACUGCCACAUGUGAUGGGGGGACAGAGAUGUUAUCCUACUGUUUGUGCUGCCCUUCUGGUACUGAGGUGCUGUGGACCUCAGACCAGUUUGGUUUCCUUACUCCCUGGGGCUUCUGCGCCAAUGCAACAUCAUCAGUGAAGGAUGGCCUCCUUAUCCCAGACCUCAGGGAUUUUGUUAAAAAGUCUGUUGUGAUGGCAGACGGCUGUGACUCUGAACUUGAAGCAGGCUGAGACUGAACUUGAAGCAGCAGUCUCUGCUGCAGCAGCAAAGCCUAGCGCCCAGACUCCAGAAGAUCUAACGACUGAGAAUUGUGAAGCCAUCCUGGAGGCGCGUCAUGAGGACCAUCACUAGCUUGUCUCUAAUCAUGAAGCCAUCCUGGGGGGUGUGACAUGAGGACCGUCGCUAGCUUGUCUCUGUUGGGAGAUCUGCUGGUAAGCAGCUGUGAACCCUGAUUGGCUGUCACUCGCUUUCAAAUAGAACGACCUUCCCUUUGCAAAUGACCAAUAUUUAAUAAGGGACGCUGUGUGUGUAUACAGUCACAUUUUACCGUGUGCUUAGUUUACUGUGUACCUGGUAACUAAUAAAAUAUUGCACUCCAUAACUAUC